rnacentral:rRNA from 1 species
UACGAAGGGGGCGAGCGUUGUUCGGAUUUACUGGGCGUAAAGGGCGCGUAGGCGGCCUUGUCAGUCAGGCGUGAAAGCCCCGGGCUCAACCUGGGAACGGCGCUUGGGACGGCGAGGCUGGAGUUCGGGAGAGGAGAGUGGAAUUCCCAGUGUAGAGGUGAAAUUCGUAGAUAUUGGGAAGAACACCGGUGGCGAAGGCGACCAUCUGGACGACAACUGACGCUGAGGCGCGAAAGCGUGGGGAGCAAACAGG